rnacentral:lncRNA from 1 species
UGUAAUUCAUAUCAGAUGCAAAAUCAUUAUUACAAAUGGAACUAUUUACAUGAGAAGGCAAAUGAACAACCUUGUUAUCAGACAAGAUGUCAUCAUUACAAGAAACAGACAUAGAAGAAGGCAAUGCAACAACUUUGUUAUCAUUACAAGUAGCAGAUACAGGACAAACAGAAAUAGAAGAACAAUUAACAGAGGGAGAAGGGGAAGAAGGAACCCAAGCUAGUUUAUACAGGACAGCAGCUUCUCUACCAAGAUCCAGUGGCC